GAGUCCUUAACUGACGCUAAAGCUCGAAAGUGCGGGUAUCGAACAGGAUUAGAUACCCUGGUAGUCCGCACGGUAAACGAUGGAUGCCCGCUGUUGGCGAUAUAUUGUCAGCGGCCAAGCGAAAGCGUUAAGCAUCCCACCUGGGGAGUACGCCGGCAACGGUGAAACUCAAAGGAAUUGACGGGGGCCCGCACAAGCGGAGGAACAUGUGGUUUAAUUCGAUGAUACGCGAGGAACCUUACCCGGGCUUGAACUGCCAGCGAACGAUACAGAGAUGUUGAGGCCCUUCGGGGCGCUGGUGGAGGUGCUGCAUGGUUGUCGUCAGCUCGUGCCGUGAGGUGUCGGCUUAAGUGCCAUAACGAGCGCAACCCCUCUCGCCAGUUGCCAUCAGGUGAUGCUGGGCACUCUGGCGACACUGCCACCGUAAGGUGUGAGGAAGGUGGGGAUGACGUCAAAUCAGCACGGCCCUUACGUCCGGGGCUACACACGUGUUACAAUGGGUGGUACAGAGAGUCAAUCCCCAGCAAUGUGGAUUCAAUCCUUAAAGCCAUCCUCAGUUCGGAUUGGGGUCUGCAACCCGACCCCAUGAAGCUGGAUUCGC
rnacentral:rRNA from 1 species